CUGUAAUUGUCCAUAGUUAUCAUUCCUAUUUUUAGGUGUAUAAAUUUGCAUUCUAUACAGCAUAUGUGGAAUAAUAAGAAAAAGAAAUUUUCCUAAAUCUCUACAUGGUAUCAGAGCAGUAGCUAUCUGAAACUUUUUUUUUCUUUCUCUUUUAUUGAAAUGGCACCAAACUCCACAGAUGACUCCUCAAAUAUUUCUACAGCUAGAACAGUUAGCCAACCAGCUGCUAUCAUCAUCGAUUCCACUCACCUCUAUUACCUUCAUCCAUCUGAUUCACCAGGAAUGGUUCUUGUCAACUCAGUUUUUGAUGGAAAAGGAUAUGGAGGAUGGCGUAGAGCCAUAAUUAUUGCACUUUCUGCCAAGAACAAACUUGGUUUCAUCGAUGGAACAUUUUAUCAACCAGAUGCGACUUCCACUAAUUUCAAGCAUUGGAAUCGCUGCAAUGAUAUGGUUAUAUCAUGGAUUUUGAACUCUCUAUCUAAGGAUAUAGCUGAAAGUGUCCUUUAUUCUAAAACUGCAAAUGAGAUUUGGAAAGAACUUGAAGUUAGAUUUGGGCAAUGUAAUGGUGCUCAACUUUAUUAGUUACAAAAGGAGUUGAGUGAUAUAGUACAGGGAACCUCUGAUAUAGCAGGUUACUAUACAAAGGUGAAAAGGAUUUGGGAUGAGUUAGAUACCUUGAAUACUUGUAUGCAUUGUACAUGUGAAUGCAAU
rnacentral:lncRNA from 1 species